AUUGAACGCUGGCGGCAGGCCUAACACAUGCAAGUCGAGCGGAUGAAGGGAGCUUGCUCCUGGAUUCAGCGGCGGACGGGUGAGUAAUGCCUAGGAAUCUGCCUGGUAGUGGGGGAUAACGUCCGGAAACGGGCGCUAAUACCGCAUACGUCCUGAGGGAGAAAGUGGGGGAUCUUCGGACCUCACGCUAUCAGAUGAGCCUAGGUCGGAUUAGCUAGUUGGUGGGGUAAAGGCCUACCAAGGCGACGAUCCGUAACUGGUCUGAGAGGAUGAUCAGUCACACUGGAACUGAGACACGGUCCAGACUCCUACGGGAGGCAGCAGUGGGGAAUAUUGGACGAUGGGCGAAAGCCUGAUCCAGCCAUGCUGCGUGUGUGAAGAAGGUCUUCGGAUUGUAAAGCACUUUAAGUUGGGAGGAAGGGCAGUAAGUUAAUACCUUGCUGUUUUGACGUUACCAACAGAAUAAGCACCGGCUAACUUCGUG
rnacentral:rRNA from 1 species